rnacentral:rRNA from 1 species
GACGAACGCUGGCGGCGUGCCUAAUACAUGCAAGUAGAACGCACAGUUUAUACCGUAGCUUGCUACACCAUAAACUGUGAGUUGCGAACGGGUGAGUAACGCGUAGGUAACCUGCCUGGUAGCGGGGGAUAACUAUUGGAAACGAUAGCUAAUACCGCAUAAUAUUGAUUAUUGCAUGAUAAUUGAUUGAAAGAUGCUAUUGCAUCACUACCAGAUGGACCUGCGUUGUAUUAACUAGUAGGUGAGGUAACGGCUCACCUAGGCGACGAUACAUAGCCGACCUGAGAGGGUGAUCGGCCACACUGGGACUGAGACACGGCCCAGACUCCUACGGGAGGCAGCAGUAGGGAAUCUUCGGCAAUGGACGAAAGUCUGACCGAGCAACGCCGCGUGAGUGAAGAAGGUUUUCGGAUCGUAAAGCUCUGUUGUAAGAGAAGAACGGGUGUGAGAGUGGAAAGUCCACACUGUGACGGUAUCUGACCAGAAAGGGACGGCUAACUACGUG